rnacentral:lncRNA from 1 species
UGAACCAGUUUGGUACCCAGUUGGUAGAAGCCACAGUGACCUUGUCACAGCUGCUGAAAGCUCGCAGCAACAAACACCUUGACAAAAUUGGUAUGUCUUUGGCUGGUGUCAUCAAACUGAAUUGAAAGAAAGGAAAAAAGCAGAAUUUUCCAAAACUAAACAGAAGACUCCAGCAAUUUAGGAUGAGAAUACAAUGGGUACUCCAACAGAAUUCUGGUUUUGGUAAAACCAGUCUAAGCUGCAGAGGAAGAGUAAUGCCUGGAAAGAGACAUCCUUAUGGAUAAUCACUGGACUUGCAGUUAGAAAAUCAUCUGGAAUUGGAAAAGGAAUUAGUCCUAUGUAUGUAUUGUCCACGUCUAAGUGACAAGAAUACAGAACACUAUUUUCCAGUGUUAAAAAGAAAGGCAAGCCUUCUGAAACAAAAUGAAGUGCAUAGGAAACCAGUUGCAGUUCUCAAGAGACCUAACCAGCUAAACAGAAAAAAUAACAUUAUGUCCAGUUUUACCAGGAGAGGAAAUAAAUUAAGCCAUCAGAAAGACACUUCACAGGUAACUUUUCUUUUCGGAAGAGGCCUGAAGAAGGUUCAGGCCCAGUUGAACACGGAACAACUGCUAGAUGUAGUAGCAAAGAGAACUAGUCAAUGCCAGACAUCUAUCACAAACGCAGGAAUCUGACUGUAUCUAUUGAUAACCCUGGAGCAGUACAAUGCCCAGCAACUGAGAAACCAUGAUUAAUUCAUACUGCUAUACCUUCAUUCUUUAAAACACGGCAGCAAGAGAAUGUAAAGAAAGUUCCAACGGGUGUUCCCCUACAAUUUGACAUAAAUAGUGUUGGAAAACAGACAGAGAUGGCUUUGAAUGAGCACUUUGGGAUCCUGAGAAAACAAACAGCCACUCUCACAUAUAACAAAGGAGGAAGUCACUUUUUAACUGUGG